rnacentral:lncRNA from 1 species
AGUUUCAAGAUUCCUAAUGCUAGAACUGAAACUGAUCUUUCAUCUCAACGUUCAGGAACCUCUCGUCUUGCUCGAAUCUCCUACUGACCUACAACCCUUGCAAUGAAUUGCAAAUAUGGUAAGGGCUACCGGUAUCCAAUAUCCAGUCAGUUAUAUCACAAAUAGAGAAAUUACAAGGAGUUAUCAUAUAAAUACCUUGUCCAGCAAUAGCUUGCUUCUU